rnacentral:rRNA from 1 species
UGGGGAAUUUUGGACAAUGGGCGAAAGCCUGAUCCAGCAAUGCCGCGUGUGUGAAGAAGGCCUUCGGGUUGUAAAGCACUUUUGUCCGGAAAGAAAUCCUUGGCUCUAAUACAGUCGGGGGAUGACGGUACCGGAAGAAUAAGCACCGGCUAACUACGUGCCAGCAGCCGCGGUAAUACGUAGGGUGCAAGCGUUAAUCGGAAUUACUGGGCGUAAAGCGUGCGCAGGCGGUUUGCUAAGACCGAUGUGAAAUCCCCGGGCUCAACCUGGGAACUGCAUUGGUGACUGGCAGGCUAGAGUAUGGCAGAGGGGGGUAGAAUUCCACGUGUAGCAGUGAAAUGCGUAGAGAUGUGGAGGAAUACCGAUGGCGAAGGCAGCCCCCUGGGCCAAUACUGACGCUCAUGCACGAAAGCGUGGGGAGCAAACAGGAUUAGAUACCCUGGUAGUCCACGCCCUAAACGAUGUCAACUAGUUGUUGGGGAUUCAUUUCCUUAGUAACGUAGCUAACGCGUGAAGUUGACCGCCUGGGGAGUACGGUCGCAAG